rnacentral:rRNA from 1 species
UACGUAGGGUGCGAGCGUUGUCCGGAAUUAUUGGGCGUAAAGGGCUCGUAGGCGGUUUGUCGCGUCGGGAGUGAAAACUCAGGGCUUAACCCUGAGCCUGCUUCCGAUACGGGCAGACUAGAGGUAUGCACGGGAGAACGGAAUUCCUGGUGUAGCGGUGAAAUGCGCAGAUAUCAGGAGGAACACCGGUGGCGAAGGCGGUUCUCUGGGCAUUACCUGACGCUGAGGAGCGAAAGUGUGGGGAGCGAACAGG